rnacentral:rRNA from 1 species
UAGAGGAAGUAAAAGUCGUAACAAGGUUUCCGUAGGUGAACCUGCGGAAGGAUCAUUAACGAGUUUGAAAUCGAGAGCCUGUUGCUGGUGCGGAAACGUACAUCGUGCACGGCUCCCGUGCUCAAUCCAUUUCAACCCCCUUGUGCACCUUAUCGAAGUCAGUAGUCUUUCUCUUUUUGUUUGCCGGUUGUGUGCGGGAACCUCUUUCUGUUCACUUGGCCGGCGAGGAGAAAUAGAGGGUCGAAAGCUUUGACUUUUCUGUUAAACACUUUGUAUGUCUUGUGGAACGUAUUAGCUCCUUUGUAGGGGCGAAAUAAAUACAACUUUCAACAACGGAUCUCUUGGCUCUCGCAUCGAUGAAGAACGCAGCGAAAUGCGAUAAGUAAUGUGAAUUGCAGAAUUCAGUGAAUCAUCGAAUCUUUGAACGCACCUUGCGCCCCUUGGUAUUCCGAGGGGCAUGCCUGUUUGAGUGUCAUGUUAAUCUCAAACCCCUUGUCUUUUUUGUUGACUUGGUCGGUUUGGACUUGGAGGUGUUGCUGGCGUGCGUCGGCUCCUCUUAAUUGCAUUAGCUGGACUUUGGUUCGCAUUUGACGGUGUAAUAGUAAAGUGUUCGCCGGGCGUGCUUGCCUAACGGGUCUGCUUCUAAUCGUCUUCGGACAACUCUGUUCAUUUUGACCUUUGACCUCAAAUCAGGUAGGACUACCCGCUGAACUUAAGCAUAUCAAUAAGCGGAGGAAAAGAAACUAACAAGGAUUCCCCUAGUAACUGCGAGUGAAGCGGGAAGAGCUCAAAUUUAAAAUCUGGCGGCUUUCGGUCGUCCGAGUUGUAAUCUGGAGAGGCAUUUUCCGCGCUGGA